rnacentral:rRNA from 1 species
AACCAACAGGGAUUGCCUUAGUAACGGCGAGUGAAGCGGCAAAAGCUCAAAUUUGAAAUCGGCGCUCUUUGGGUGUUCGAGUUGUAAUUUGGAGAAGCAACUUUUUGUACCAGCUCUGGCGGAAGUUCCUUGGAACAGGAUGCCGUAGAGGGUGAGAGCCCCGUUCUACCGGAGGACUGGUGCAUUGCAAAGUGCUUUCAAAGAGUCGAGUUGUUUGGGAAUGCAGCUCUAAGUGGGUGGUAAAUUCCAUCUAAAGCUAAAUAUUGGCGAGAGACCGAUAGCGAACAAGUACAGUGAUGGAAAGAUGAAAAGAACUUUGAAAAGAGAGUGAAAAAGUACGUGAAAUUGCUGAAAGGGAAGGGCUUGAAACCAGACUUGGCUUGUCGUGAUCAUCCAUCUCUCGGGGUGGUGUACUCGCGGCUUGCUGGGCCAGCAUGGGUUUGGAGGGAGUGAUAAUGUUCAAAGAAUGUGGCUUGGUGCUUCGGUAUCCGAGUGUUAUAGCUUUGUUCGAUAGCUCCACUCCGGAUCGAGGACUGCUAAUACAGGAUGCUGGCGUAAUGGUUUUAAGCCACCCGUCUUGAAACAC